rnacentral:rRNA from 1 species
GACGAACGCUGGCGGCGUGCUUAACACAUGCAAGUUGAACGGAGGUUUUGUUUUCGGAUAAAGCCUUAGUAGCGGACGGGUGAGUAACGCGUGAGCAACCUGCCUUUGUGAGGGGGACAACAGCUGGAAACGGCUGCUAAUACCGCAAUGAGACCACGAUCCCGCAUGGGGAUGGGGUAAAAAGAGGAAACUCGCACAGAGAUGGGCUCGCGUCCCAUUAGCUAGUUGGUGAGGUAACGGCUCACCAAGGCGACGAUGGGUAGCCGACCUGAGAGGGUGAUCGGCCACACUGGAACUGAGACACGGUCCAGACUCCUACGGGAGGCAGCAGUGGGGAAUAUUGGGCAAUGGGCGAAAGCCUGACCCAGCAACGCCGCGUGAGGGAAGAAGGUCUUCGGAUUGUAAACCUCUGUCCUUGGGGACGAAGGAAGUGACGGUACCCAAGGAGGAAGCUCCGGCUAACUACGUGCCAGCCAGCCGCGGUAAACGGUAUCUACG